GAUGAACGCUGACAGAAUGCUUAACACAUGCAAGUCGACUGGAAUUCACCUUCGGGUGAUAGUACGGUGGCGGACGGGUGAGUAACGCGUAAAGAACUUGCCCUCUAGACUGGGACAACUGUUGGAAACGACAGCUAAUACCGGAUAUUAUGAGAACCUCGCAUGGGGGACUCAUGAAAGCUAUAUGCGCUAGAGGAGAGCUUUGCGUGCCAUUAGCUAGUUGGUGGGGUAACGGCCCACCAAGGCGACGAUGGCUAGCCGGCCUGAGAGGGUGAUCGGCCACAAGGGGACUGAGACACGGCCCUUACUCCUACGGGAGGCAGCAGUGGGGAAUAUUGGACAAUGGACCAAAAGUCUGAUCCAGCAAUUCUGUGUGCACGAUGAAGGUUUUCGGAUCGUAAAGUGCUUUCAGCAGGGAAGAAAAAAUGACGGUACCUGCAGAAGAAGCGACGGCUAAAUACGUGCCAGCAGCCGCGGUAAU
rnacentral:rRNA from 1 species